CCUACGGGAGGCAGCAGUGGGGAAUAUUGCACAAUGGAGGAAACUCUGAUGCAGCAACGCCGCGUGGAGGAUGACGCAUUUCGGUGUGUAAACUCCUUUUAUAAGGGAAGAUAAUGACGGUACCUUAUGAAUAAGCACCGGCUAACUCCGUGCCAGCAGCCGCGGUAAU
rnacentral:rRNA from 1 species